rnacentral:rRNA from 1 species
GUGAGGAAUAUUGGUCAAUGGGCGGGAGCCUGAACCAGCCAAGUCGCGUGAAGGAAGAAGGAUCUAUGGUUCGUAAACUUCUUUUGCAGGGGAAUAAAGUGCAGGACGUGUCCUGUUUUGUAUGUACCCUGAGAAUAAGGAUCGGCUAACUCCGUGCCAGCAGCCGCGGUAAUAUGGAGGAUCCGAGCGUUAUCCGGAUUUAUUGGGUUUAAAGGGUGCGUAGGUGGUUUGAUAAGUCAGCGGUGAAAGUUUGCAGCUUAACUGUAAAAAUGCCGUUGAAACUGUCGGACUUGAGUGUAAAUGAGGUAGGCGGAAUGCGUGGUGUAGCGGUGAAAUGCAUAGAUAUCACGCAGAACUCCGAUUGCGAAGGCAGCUUACUAAGCUACAACUGACACUGAAGCACGAAAGCGUGGGGAUCAAACAGGAUUAGAAACCCGAGUAGUCC